GACGAACGCUGGCGGCGUGCUUAACACAUGCAAGUCGAACGGUAAGGCCCUUCGGGGUACACGAGUGGCGAACGGGUGAGUAACACGUGGGUGAUCUGCCCUGCAGUUCGGGAGAAGCCUGGGAAACUGGGUCUAAUACCGGAUAGGACUCCGGACUGCAUGGUCUGGGGUGGAAAGCUUUUGCGGGGUGGGAUGGGCCCGCGGCCUAUCAGCUUGUUGGUGGGGUGAUGGCCUACCAAGGCGACGGCGGGUAGCCGGCCUGGGAGGGGGACCGGCCACACUGGGACUGAGAUACGGCCCAGACUCCUACGGGAGGCAGCAGUGGGGAAUAUUGCACAAUGGGCGCAAGCCUGAUGCAGCGACGCCGCGUGAGGGAUGACGGCCUUCGGGUUGUAAACCUCUUUCAGCAUCGACGAAGCGAAAGUGACGGUAGGUGCGGAAGAAGGACCGGCCAACUACGUGCCAGCCGCCGCAGUAA
rnacentral:rRNA from 1 species